AGAGAGGGAGGUAGAGGGUCAGAGUACAGUAGAAUGAGCGAUAGUUGCGCAAUCCUGCCUCCAUCGUUGUCGAGCAGCGAUUACGCAAACGUGAUAAUUAAUUGCCAGUGUUCUCUGUUUAAUGACUCGUCAAGUCGUUUGCUAAACACGCCAAAUCGCCGCGACGUCACGAAAAUCGCUAUACAGGUGCAUCGUUGCAUGUCGGUGCUGUUAAUUCCACGACGUUGGACGUUACAUAAUCUCGCGAUUUCAAGUGUUUUUCGUUAUUUCUUUUUUACUCUCUCUCUCUUUCUCUCACUCUCUCUCUCUCUCUCUCUCUCUCUCUCUCUCUCUCUCUCUCUCUCUCUCUCUUUUUCUCUCACCUUCCCCUCUCUGUUCUAUUCUAUUCUAUUCUAUUGUAUUUUACUCUAUCCCAUUCUAUUCUAUUUUUCCCUUUCAUAUAGGUUUUUCAUCGAUCCUGGAAAUAUGUAUUGUUUAAGCGUCGAACGUCGUCCCGAUACUCGAAUUGCCCUGUCCGUUCUCUCUCUCUCUUUUUUCUUUUUUUUUUUUUUUUCCUUUUUUUUCCCCUCCAGGAUCACCACCAAGGCUGACCUAAAAACUCUCUUACCUUUCUUUUAUCCGAUCUCUCUAUAACGUCAAGUAAACCGAACGAACAAUAAACGAAAUCCUCUUCUGUCUGUUAUGAAAAUAUGACGCGUAUAUAGACAUCUGAGAAUGUCGAUGACGGGUGUAGGAUAAAUAAGCUCGACCCGAAUAAUCUCGCGUUAUUUUUAGAUCGUAUCGAUCUUAAGCGAAUGAAAUAUUUUCCGACGAUAAUCGACGGUAUAUAAUUCCUUAUUUCACCGACAAUUCACGUUAACUGUUCUUAAUCGAUCCUAAGUUGUAUCGUAUGUAUACAUAUGUGUACAUAUGUAUUGUACAUAAUAUACGUAACAUGUCGGUUGGCGUAACGGCUAGAAUCGUCUCUUACGAAACCGGAUGGAUGGAUAUUCAGGUUCAGAUUCGGGUUUGAAUACUUGCAAAAGGGAUUUAUGAUUGUUGGUAUGCAUAUAUAUAUAUAUAUAUAUAUUCUUUUAUAAAGGAUAUUUCAUUCUAAUUCUAAUUUCUCCAACUGGUUGGUUUUCUUUUCUGUUCUUUUUUUUUUCUUUUUUUUUUCCCCUUCUUUUUUCAAGUUCAUUGUAAUUUCUUAAAGUAUCUUUCGACUAUUGCAAAAAUAAAAAUACAUAUUUAUAUAUUUAUAUCGUCUACGUAUCCAAUUAUACAAUAUGAAUUAAUGAAUAUGAAUCAUUGUAUUGUACUUAUAACAACAAAUAAAUCAGAGAUAUAAUGAGUAUGAAUUAAGUAUUUGGAUAAAAAAAAAAAAAAAAAAAAAAAAAAAAAAAAAAAAAGUGAUAAGAAAAUUGCCCAAUGAUGAGAAAAUGAGAUAUGAUUUUAUGGCCAGAGUCAAUCUAGCAGAAGGGACACACAAGCUAAGGUACAUUUUGGUUACCAACGAGAAAUUGUCUCGGGAAGGUCUGAGAUAAAGUCGGAUUCGAAUAAAAUUUUUAUUUAUUUUCGAAUAUAUGCUCUAGAAGGGCAGCCUUGUUAUACGGGGCCGAGGAAAACAGAAAUAUUUGACGACCGAUCUUUAAGAAACCUAGGACGUCACGUUAUCUCUUUUCCACUUUCGUUUCUUAUCUUAUAAUUUUCUUUGUCUAUUUAUCUUUAUAUAUAGAUAUAUGUAUAUAUAAUAGAUUGUUCGGAAAGUAAUUUCGUUUUUUUUUGUGAAAAUGAAAGACAAUUUUCGUAUAACGAACAAAUAUUUUAUUAAAUUAUAUAUUGGCCAUUCUGGUCCAAUACCUUUUGCCAUCUUUUUUCUGGUAGGUAGCAUGAUCCCAUGCUCAUAAAAUUGUUGUUCUUUGCUGGCAAAAAACUGAUCGUGGUGGUUUUUGACCUUCUCAAUUUGAAGUGAAGGUUUUACCAUCUAAAAAAUUUUGCAAUGACCGGAAUAAAUAAUAAUCCGAAGGUGCCAGAUCUGGAGAAUAUGGUUGGUGUGGCAUUGUAUCCCAUUCAAGCUGUAAAAGCUUUUGGCGAGUGACCAAACUUGUAUGAGGUCUCGCAUUAUCUUGGAGGAACAUUACACCUUUUCUAUUGAUUAAUUCUGGCCUUUUCUGUUGAAGUGCAUCAUUCAGUUUGUCCAACUGAUGACAGUAGACUUCCGAAUUAAUUGUUGUGUUAUCCGGUAAAAUCUCAAAAAAGAAAAACCGAUUCCUUUAAAAUCCCAUCAAACAGACAGCAUCACCUUUUUUUGAUGGAUAUUGGCUUUGGAAAUGCUUUGAGCCGGUUCAUCUUUUUUGCUCCAUGAUCUCUUGUGUUUGACAUUGUUAUAUACAACUCAUUUUUCGUCCCCAGUAAUGAUGCGCUUCAAAAAUGGAUCAUUUUCGUGAUGUUUGAGAAGCGAAUCACAGACGUCAACGCGACGAGACAAAUUUCUCUUCGUGAGAACAUGGAGAACACCAUAUAUCGAACUUCGAGGUUAAAUCUAGGCCUUUCAAGUGGUCAUAAACAGUUGAAUUUGAUAAAUUUAACCUCUCACCGAUCUCACGUGUUGUUAUUUGCCGGUUUGCAUCAACUAAUGCCUUUAUCGUGUCUUUAUCAGCUUCAACCGGCCUUUCAAAACGUGAUGCAUCUUCUACAUCAAAAUUGCCGGAUUGAAAUUUUGCAAACCAGUUCUGGCACUGGCGUACUGUCAACACAUCUUCUCCAUACACAUCGGUUAAUUUCUUUCUGGCUUGAACAGCAUUUUUACCUUUUCUAUAGUAAAAAAGUAAAAUAUGACGAAAAUGCUGCUUAUUGUUCUUCAUAUUUAAAAGGGCACCAACCAAAAACUACUGCGUAGAAUCAAUUGGACUUUUUCACACACAAGCCUUACUAUAUCAGGUCUCAAAACAUAUAAUGAUUAUAUGGCUUAAGUGUGAAGUUGGGUGUAAAAAAAUACAAUUAAAUCCUCUGUCGUGUAAAAACGAAAUUACUUUAUGAACAACCCAAUAUAUAUAUAUAUAUAUUUCUUGAUGAGAAAAGAUUAUUUUAAACUUUACUAUUUACAUAUCAUCUUUUAUCUACGAACGGAUACCUACGUAAAUCUUCCUUCUAUUCUCUGUUCGAAAGUGGAGAGGGAUACUGACAGAGGUCGAGUCGGUCAUGUCGAUGGAAAUUCCCGCGACUCGCGAUUUCAGCACAAUCUGCAAGCCGUUCUUCGUGUGCGUCUUCUAAUCCGAGACGCGCGGUAAGAAGGACGGAACUCAAUUCAGACUAAUCUGACUCUGGCCGUUUCUAUCUUCGAUUCUGAGGGCUUCUUUUUAUCAAAUUUGUUUGCUUUCUUUCCUUUUCUUUUUUCUCUUUUUUUUUUUUUUUUUAAUUUCUUUUUCCUCUUCAUUUUUCUCUUACGGAGUAUCGAUCGUUUUACGGAUUUAGAGAAAAGUUUAAUGUCAUCAAAAGCGAUAUAAUUGAAUAAAUAUUUAAUUAAUCGUAUCGUAAUUAACGUAGGACGAUUUUUUUUUUUUUUUUUUUUUUUUUUUCAUACAACUUUUUCAAAGCUUAGUAAGAAGUAUUUUCAAUAUCGAUCGUAAAAAUGAAAAUGAAAAGAGAUAAGAAAAUAGUGCAACUUUUGAUUUUUGUAAUAAUAGUAAAUUAAUAGUACGACGUCCGGAAGCAAUAAAUAAUGGAUUAAUCCUUUGCACUGCAAAAACGACAUACGCUCAAACGUUCGUCAAUACAUACGAAGAAUUGGACAUAUAUUGGAUGUAUAUAUUGCUGUAUGUCAUAUGGCAACCAAUCAAAUUAUGACUAAGUAAAGUGAAAUGUAAACGAGAACGUGCAUAUGAUAUACCAUAAAUUAAUAUAACGAUCUUCAUCAGUUAAUUUCGACGUUACAUUAAUAAUUAUUAAUGAGAAUCGAAAAAAUUACCUAGCUGACAAUUAAUAUAAUAUAAGGCUUAACGAUUGAUAUAACUAGAUAUCGAUUAUGCGCUUCGAUAAUUUAUUUGAAAUUUUUCGCAUAGUUCGAGGAUUAUCGUAACGCAAUCCGCGCGAGGACGUAUUAUUAUUGUUCAUGAAUUCCAUGAAUGUUUCUUAAUCAUCUUACUAGGAAAUGGAAUUCAAACGAUAACCAUCGAUAUCGAUUCGAUCGAAUUAAUUGAAUUUAUAGUGGUCCAUAAAAUUAAAACUGUGUUCGGACGACGGUGAUCGUGCAUCCAGCAUACACAUUCGACGAAACUUCUCUUGCCUGGUUGGCAUCGAUCGCGGGAGACCGAACGAGCAGAUUUCUCCGUGGAAAGCGAAUUUGAUUAAUUUUAUAUAUUUCCCGCAUGAGAUAGCUCGUCGUUUACCUAUCGUUUCAUUUCUAUCUAAUCAAUUUCUCUUUAGUUUAAACCUAUUAAUUUACAUGGAUACCGUUACUCAUCUUAAUUAUAUAUGUAUACACACACACACACACACACACACACAUAAAUAUAUAUAUUAUAUCUGCA